rnacentral:tRNA from 1 species
AUGAGAAUAGCUUAAUUGGCAGGGCUUAAGUUUGUGGUGCUUAAAAGUAAGAGUUCGAGUCUCUUUUCUCAUC